rnacentral:rRNA from 1 species
AGUGAACGCUGGCGGUAGGCCUAACACAUGCAAGUCGAACGGCAGCACAGUAAGAGCUUGCUCUUACGGGUGGCGAGUGGCGGACGGGUGAGGAAUACAUCGGAAUCUACUUUUUCGUGGGGGAUAACGUAGGGAAACUUACGCUAAUACCGCAUACGACCUACGGGUGAAAGCAGGGGAUCUUCGGACCUUGCGCGAUUGAAUGAGCCGAUGUCGGAUUAGCUAGUUGGCGGGGUAAAGGCCCACCAAGGCGACGAUCCGUAGCUGGUCUGAGAGGAUGAUCAGCAACACUGGAACUGAGACACGGUCCAGACUCCUACGGGAGGCAGCAGUGGGGAAUAUUGGACAAUGGGCGCAAGCCUGAUCCAGCCAUACCGCGUGGGUGAAGAAGGCCUUCGGGUUGUAAAGCCCUUUUGUUGGGAAAGAAAAGCAGCAGGUUAAUACCCCGCUGUUCUGACGGUACCCAAAGAACAAGCACCGGCUAACUUCGUG